GCGUGAGAAUCUAGCUUCAGGUUGGGGACAACCACUGGAAACGGUGGCUAAUACCGAAUAAGCCGAAAGGUGAAAGAUUAAUUGCCUGGAGAUGAGCUCGCGUCUGAUUAGCUAGUUGGUAGGGUAAAAGCCUACCAAGGCGUCGAUCAGUAGCUGGUCUGAGAGGACGAUCAGCCACACUGGGACUGAGACACGGCCCAGACUCCUACGGGAGGCAGCAGUGGGGAAUUUUCCGCAAUGGGCGAAAGCCUGACGGAGCAAUACCGCGUGAGGGAGGAAGGCUCUUGGGUCGUAAACCUC
rnacentral:rRNA from 1 species